UACGUAGGGACCAAGCGUUGUUCGGAUUUACUGGGCGUAAAGGGCGCGUAGGCGGCGGGGUAAGUCGGGUGUGAAAUCUCAGGGCUCAACCCUGAAACUGCACUCGAUACUGCUCUGCUUGAGGACUGGAGAGGAGACUGGAAUUCAUGGUGUAGCAGUGAAAUGCGUAGAGAUCAUGAGGAAGACCAGUGGCGAAGGCGGGUCUCUGGACGAGUUCCUGACAGCUGAGGCACGGAAG
rnacentral:rRNA from 1 species